rnacentral:lncRNA from 10 species
CUUUGCUGCCCCAUAUUGGCUGGACUCUGAGUAUGACAUCUCUCCUAUGUGCAGAAGUCUGGUUGCCACUGGGAGUAGGUGGGACCAGGGAAAUCUCUGGGACGUGAGUGUGGAGGCCUGUUGGUCUAGACUCUAGACUGUGGAGCUCUGAGCUUUUGUGUCCUCUGGAAGGAAGCUGGGGAAGAAUCCUCUCCAUUGUUAAGUGACGGGGAUAGAAGCUGUCCUGCACAGGAAGUCACGAGGGGGGCGUAUCCCACGAGGAAGGCAGGAGGGGGCGUGCCCCUCACCGGAAAUUAGCAGAGGGGCGUGUCCCACACCGGAAGUCAGAAAGCGGAGCCUUUCUUACACCGGAAGUCAAUGAAGCGGGUCUUUCCUACGCUAAAAACCACUGAGUGGAGUAUUUAGUACACAGGAAGUCGGCCAGAGAAACAUUUCUCAUAUUUGAAGGCCGGAAAGAGGGACAUUUCUGACACCGGAAGUCAGUGAGAGGACUCUUUCCCACACAGGAAGUCAGCUAGAGAGCCGUCUCCCCUCUCUGGAGCCGAGAGAGGCCGGUUUCCCCCACCGUAGCCCACCUGGGAGGAAUUUUCCAGAGAUCACUGUCUGAUGACCCUGUCUUGGAAUUGGAGCCAUGCAAGUUACACUGACCACGUUUGGGUUGGGAUAUUGAGGAGGUUAUGGUUAAAAGCAUACGAUGGGAGAUCAUAUUGUACUUGCGAGUGAGACCCGGCUGGAGGAAUGUUUUAAUUCUUCGGAAAUACCAAGUGGUCUCUGGGGACCUUUGGCCAUGUCUUGAGAUGUUUUUGGUUGCCGUGAUUGAGGAGGUGCUACCAGCGUCUGCUGGGCAGAGACCAGGGAUGCUGCUCCACAUCCCACAAUGCACAGGACAAUCUUCUCUACAGCAAUGAAUUAUCCAGUUCACAAUCUCAAUAGCACCAAUAUUGAGAAACCCUGUUGAAGAUGGAGACUAUCCACGGGGCAUUGAUCUUGGGGUCUCCCCCUUCCUGAAUACUUGAAGUCCCUCGGCAGACUCUUGGAUACCUCCAGCAAUGGGGAGCUCACCACCUGUUUUGAAGCCAGGCAGGUUUGGGCUCUUCUUGUAGCUGUGUGACUCUGGAUUUUCCCAUAGGUGGGAGUGGAUCCACCACCUUGAGCUUCAGUUUCCUCCAGUGCCAUGGGAUUAGCAGCAGCCCUGCCUCACAGAUUGCGUGAGGAUGAAAUGAGAUGAUGCUCCUGAGUUGGCUGGUGCAGUGCACGGUACACAGAGAGUGCUCAAUAAAUGUUCCCUGCUGUGAAU